rnacentral:lncRNA from 1 species
GGUUCUUACAUUACAUUUAUUCAAAUUUGUUUAUUGUCGUUUAUUAUUUGUUGAUAUCUUGUAGAAAUGUCGUUCUUUUUUUUUAUUGUUUCAACACCAAAGUGCAUUGUAGCCUGUAUAUUCAGGGAGUGGCAUACCUAAUUUAUUUAUUUUCCGGAAUUUAAGGUCUAUUUCCGUAUUCGUCUUUAAUUUUUCUAUCCGUUUCAAAACUUCCGGUAGAGAAUUUAACAAAAACUGCACAUUUGAAAUACACAUUUUUUAAUAUUUUUGGUAAGAAGUAAUCGGUUUUCAAUCUGGUCUUCGAUUUAAAAACUUCCGGGCCACUUCACUGAUAUGAAAAAAUACACAGAACACCAUCUCCUCCUGGAAAUAGAAGUAAAAUCUUAUCUGUUCUCUGUGUGAAUAAUGAACCGUUAAAAAAUGUCUCUUAGACCUAUAAAUUAUAACUAUAAAUUUGUCCUAGUACUACUUCAGAGUAAUCGCUGCACAUAAGCGUGAGAGUAAUAAACAAAAACUUAUAAAAUGAAACCCUUGCCAAUACAUUUUAUCAUACAAUAAAUGUUUAAGUGCUAGUUUCACUCUGGAUAAAUACAAUAAAGUCAAUAUACAUGUAACACUGAAAUAAGAGAUGCAUGUACAUGUACAGUUAAGAUGGGGUCAGCAAUUUUAAUUCAAUUGUAUAUAUAGAUGGUUGUUUCGUGUAACAGGAUUUAAAGGUGCAUGUGUAUAUUUGUAUGUGUUUUUUUUGUUUUUCUUCUUCAAUUGUAUGAAUUGAAUGCAUGUACCUGUGUUGGUAAAAAUGCUCUGUUGUUAUUGUGUUGUUUUUUUUUGUUUCUUUUUUUCGUUACUUUAUUUUCUUUUAUUUAGCAUGGUGAUUAUAAAUUAGCAUGAUGACUAUUAUUAUAUGCUAUUCUUUGGUAUACAUCUUCUCUCGUAAAAUCGAACAAUACACAAAUUUAAAAUUAAAACGUGCAAAUCGAGGUACAAAAUGAAGUUUCACAGAACUUUUUUGAUAUAUAUUUCAGUUUUACUUUAGCACAAAAAUAUUUGCUCAUUUUAUUUAUACUAUGAUGCUCUCGACACUUUUUUUUAGGGGGUUGGGGGUAACUCUAAGUAAAAAAUUGAAACACUGGGAAAACACUUUUACAUAUAGAUGCACAUGUGUAUGGUUUGUUCAUACUGCUUGGAUAUAUUGGGCUUAUAGAUAUUUAUAUUUAUUAUUAUUUAAGCUAUUCUUGUUUAACC